UACACACUCAUGUACAGUAGGUGGCGGUAUGCACCUGAAACUCGCUUGCGAUCCGCCAUAGUAAAAAAGAAGAAGAAGAGCUACGUCGGCCACUCCCACACGCCUCUCCUGAUCUGAACAAAGAGACAAACACUGUUUCCCCUCAGCGUCGCGCUAGGCGGACGGCAACGCAGCUGAUCAUCACAAGAAGAAAACAAGUAGACCCAAUAGUAGCCACGAAAGACCAGCACUUCCUCCCGGAACCCAAAGCCGGCCUGGAAUCGUGCAGGCCCUCACUCUGAGAUGGGGGUCGAUGAAAGAAGGCAUGGGGCUACAGCUGGAGUGUUUGAAGUCUGAGAGGUGAACCUCCACUCUUGUCUUUUUCAGGAGUGGACGUCCCAGCUGCUGCCCAGCAACUGUAACAUGUCGGCAAAUCAGCAUUUUUACAGAGCUGUGUGCACAGGAACGUGUCAAUUCCUAAACAAGGGAGCGGAUUUGUGUGGAAAAAGAUAUGAGAUCACUCUUUCCCUUUUGUUCUCCCUGGGGUGUCGCAUCAUCAUAUGUUAUUGGAUGCGAGACGCGGGACACUCCCCGAUCCCGCUAUACCCAUCUGCUACUUAUGGAGGACUUUAGGAGGCGUCUGAAAAAAGAGGAAAAGGCCACAUGACACGACGCGCAGAUCCGACCGCAGAUGAACAUGGGUGAGGAACCCGUGCAUUUGGAAGAGAAUGAAACAUGUAGGAAAAGGAAGGCAGUAUAUCACUGCAAAAAAAGAAAAAAGAAAAAUGACAAGGGUCACAUAUGCUUGUGGAGAGGGAAGAAUGCAGCCACGAAGAUCACAAGCUGAGAAAUAAUUUAUCACUGCUCCCUCUAUCGUUUCUUCUGGCAGAGACAGAUGGCCUGGAAUCCUGUCGGAUCCCUUCUGGUUUGGCUUGAAAUUUUUGCCGGUUAUGUGUCUUGUGCACAUGCACAGAUUAACUUGCUCACACACACACACACACACACACACAGAAUGAGGCUGGUUUUUAUCCAGUUGUGACAGAACUCAAGUGUAUAUUUAUCCCUUCUCCCCACUAUAUGAGCUAAAGAAACAUGUGCAUGUCUUACCUACACGUGUUAUGCUGAAUUUACGCUAAUAGUUUCUUUUUAACUGCUGACAUGAAGGCUGGCUGUAAAGGUCAUGUGCUAUGAGCAAAAAUCUAAUUGUCUUUUGUAUAAAGAUGUAACAGCUGGGGUGUUACUUUAAACUUAACUAAUGUACAUAAGAACCUCAUAUUCAUCAGUCUAAUAAUCUUUAGACUGGUAUUAUAAAACAAUAUGAUGGA